GGGGUCCGUAUCUUAUAUAUCUAUAUCUCCUAUAAAGCUAAAUCCCAAUAGCCUAAUUCUUUUGCUUCUCCUUAAGCCACGUCAUCCACUCUCCUAUGUGUCGGUACGAUGCCGUCUCCCGCAGCGCGCAAACGGAUCCGUUCGUCACCAGCCCACCACUGCAUGUUCAGUUAGACCACCGCAUGUUCAGUUAGGGAAAACUGAUCCCACCUCUCCCGAUGGUCAAGCACGGGUUCCUCUGCCCUUCCUCGACCCUCUGCCUCCACCCCAUCCCUCCAGCGCCGCCCGACUCCAACCGCCGCUUUCUGCCAGAUUCUCCCGCCAGCCGCCUCUCCUUCCAUCCAUGGCACCGCACUUCCCCUCCCCUUCUCCCACCUACCGCAUAGCGCCAUCCCCUGCCAUUUUCGCUAGGACGCCGCCUCUGCUCCCAUCCAGAGCGUCGUGCUUCUUCUCCCCUUCUUCCAUCUCGCCCUCCUCCUGCGGAUGUCUGGCCCUCUCCUCCAAUGGCUGCUCACCUUCCUGCACCAACUCACAUGCACAGCCUUCCUCCACGCCCUUAAUUCUUUCCGUAACCGAUGAUUCUUUGUGUAACUGAUGAUUUGAUUAUAUCUCUUUGUCUCCAUGUCCUCUACCCGUAUUAUCUAUUUAUAUGCCACUCCAUGUCCGUGUGCUCUCAGAUUGUCAUCCCCAUCGCAGGUCCAGGUUACGUCAUACAGAAUUCUAUAUUGGAACAUUGCUGCCAAUUGAUAUGCUGUAUAUCUAUUCAGAGUCGAUGCAUUAUCAUUGAGGUGUUGGAUGUUCUGUAUAUCUCUCUUCACAGUCCAUGCAUUACCAUUGAGGUGUUGGAUCUUCAAAUCAGUUUACAGCCAAGUCUGAUGAGCAAUUAGGGUGGCUUCAGUGGCACGCGGAGGCAUCACGAAGGACGGCAAGCGCAAGGCAUACUCAGGCUUUGUUUAGAUGCGAAAAUAUUUUGGAUUUCGCUAUUGUAGCACUUUCGUUUGUUUGUGGCAAAUAUUGUCUAAUCAUAGACUAACUAGGGUCAAAAAGAUUCGUCU